rnacentral:misc_RNA from 1 species
CUCAUGUUCGAAUCAUUGGAAGGGGUGAGUGUUUAUGGGAAGUGAGAGGGUUGAUUAAUUUUGCAACCCACUUGUUGAAAACAAAUAUGUAUUGUGCUUGCCUUCCCAUUAUUUGGGUUAGAAUUGAAAAUUUUGCUUCAUUUCAUUAUUCUUUUGCAAGAAGAAUAUAACACUAAAGGCUAGACAAUAAAGCCAUUGACAUUACCAUAUUCAAUCUUCUAGUUUUAUCAGUGAAAAAUGGAUUAAUAAUUUCCAAUUCUUUUAAAAGUUCUCAAAAUCUUGUAGAUGAUUUUAGCAUAAAGUCAUCAUUCUAACUAGCAAUCAUUUUCCUUUUAGAGCUCCAAAGCCAUUGAACUCUAUUACCAUAGCAUGGGGAAUUUCUCAUGAGAAAUCUGGAGCCAUAAGCUGCCUAUCUUGAAAAUGUCCAGUGGGAAUUUGAAUUAGCCAAACCCACCAUGGUGUUCAUCAGAAACACAUUAUUCUAACAAGCAAUCACUUUCUGCCAGUUGGCACUUCAUGGUGUUCAUCAGAAAGUGAUUGCUUGUUAGAAUAAUGUGUUUCUGAUGAACACCAUGGUGGGUUUGGCUAAUUCAAAUUCCCACUGGACAUUUUCAAGAUAGGCAGCUUAUGGCUCCAGAUUUCUCAUGAGAAAUUCCCCAUGCUAUGGUAAUAGAGUUCAAUGGCUUUGGAGCUCUAAAAGGAAAAUGAUUGCUAGUUAGAAUGAUGACUUUAUGCUAAAAUCAUCUACAAGAUUUUGAGAACUUUUAAAAGAAUUGGAAAUUAUUAAUCCAUUUUUCACUGAUAAAACUAGAAGAUUGAAUAUGGUAAUGUCAAUGGCUUUAUUGUCUAGCCUUUAGUGUUAUAUUCUUCUUGCAAAAGAAUAAUGAAAUGAAGCAAAAUUUUCAAUUCUAACCCAAAUAAUGGGAAGGCAAGCACAAUACAUAUUUGUUUUCAACAAGUGGGUUGCAAAAUUAAUCAACCCUCUCACUUCCCAUAAACACUCACCCCUUCCAAUGAUUCGAACAUGAG